CAUCAUUUAAAGAAAGCGUAAUAGCUCACUGGUCGAGUCGGCCUGCGCGGAAGAUGUAACGGGGCUAAACCAUGCACCGAAGCUGCGGCAGCGACACUAUGUGUUGUUGGGUAGGGGAGCGUUCUGUAAGCCUGCGAAGGUGGCCUGUGAGGGCUGCUGGAGGUAUCAGAAGUGCGAAUGCUGACAUAAGUAACGAUAAAGCGGGUGAAAAGCCCGCUCGCCGGAAGACCAAGGGUUCCUGUCCAACGU
rnacentral:rRNA from 1 species